UUGCUUAGGUCUAGUUGACUAGCUUUAGCUUUCGAGUUUGGUCGAAUAAUAUUUAAACUAUAAUAUUUGAGAAACUAGUCAAAAUAUAUUUAGCUAGCAAAACCUAAGCAUAUUUCCUUAAAUCAUAUACAGUGUAAAAUAAAAACAUCUUAAAAAAAAAAAAAGAAAAGUUCUAAGAUAAGCGAAUAAUAUUAUUCAUAACAUUUGAAAUUCCUUGGAAGAACAAGUAAUUAGAAUGUUACCAUGGCAACGUCUACGUCUGCGGCCCAAAUAUUGGUUCUAUUUCCUAUACAAUGAUCCAUCGUUCGGAGAGUUCAUGAAGUGUAGUGCAUUCUUUGUUUUAGGAAUAUGUGUGCUGAGACGUCUAGGAAAGGGCUUUCCAAAUCUGUCGGUCCAGUUUGAAAAGCUUCUGCAGUCCUAAGUUAAGUCGUAUGCGGAAUGGCAUUAGGACUACACAAAGUUUAUCUUUUUCCCUUAAUUUGGCAUUGCAAAUUGUGUGAAACAAUUGAGUAUUAUUUUCGUAAAUAAAUUUUUUUAAUGAAAGCUUUUUACACAGA